UGGAUAGGAAGAUAAAAGGCAUCUUUUAUCUUUUAAAAGACCUAGUAAUAGGUAUGCUUUAGGAGGGGCUUGCGCCAUAUUAGUUAGUUGGUAGGGUAAUGGCCUACCAAGACGAUGAUGUGUAGCUGGACUGAGAGGUUGAACAGCCACAUUGGGACUGAGACACGGCCCAAACUCCUACGGGAGGCAGCAGUAGGGAAUUUUCGGCAAUGGAGGAAACUCUGACCGAGCAACGCCGCGUGAAUGACGAAGUACUUCGGUAUGUAAAGUUCUUUUAUCAAGGAAGAAAAGCAAAUGGCGAACCAUUUGUUUGCCGGUACUUGAUGAAUAAGCCCCGGCUAAUUAUGUGCCAGCAGCCGCGGUAAGACAUAAGGGGCAAGUGUUAUCCGGAAUUAUUGGGCGUAAAGGGUGCGUAGGCGGUCUAGUAAGUCAGUGGUGUAAUGGCAACGCUUAACGUUGUCCGGCUAUUGAAACUGCUAAACUUGAGUUAGAUAGAGGCGAGUGGAAUUCCAUGUGUAGCGGUAAAAUGCGUAAAUAUAUGGAGGAACACCAGAGGCGUAGGCGGCUCGCUGGGUCUUAACUGACGCUGAGGCACGAAAGCGUGGGGAGCAAACAGGAUUAGAUACCCUGGUAGUCCACGCCGUAAACGAUGAGUACUAAGUGUCGGGUUAAACCGGUACUGAAGUUAACACAUUAAGUACUCCGCCUGAGUAGUACGUACGCAAGUAUGAAACUUAAAGGAAUUGACGGGACUCCGCACAAGCGGUGGAUCAUGUUGUUUAAUUCGAAGAUACCCGAAAAACCUUACCAGGUCUUGACAUGUUUUUGCAAAAUGAUAGUAAUAUCGUGGAGGUUACCAGAAACACAGGUGGUGCAUGGUUGUCGUCAGCUCGUGUCGUGAGAUGUUAGGUUAAGUCCUAAAACGAGCGAAACCCUUAUCGUUAGUUGCCAGCACGUUAUGGUGGGGACUUUAACGAGACUGCCAAUGAUAAAUUGGAGGAAGGUGAGGAUCACGUCAAAUCAGCAUGCCCCUUAUGACCUGGGCUACAAACGUGAUACAAUGGCUGUUACAAAGGGUAGCUGAAACGCAAGUUCUUGGCCAAUCCCCAAAAACAGUCCCAGUCCGGAUUGAAGUCUGCAACUCGACUUCAUGAAGUUGGAAUCGCUAGUAAUCGCGAAUCAGCAUGUCGCGGUGAAUACGUUCUCGGGGUUUGUACACACCGCCCGUCAAACCACGAAAGUUG
rnacentral:rRNA from 1 species